GGGGGCGACAGGCCUCGACGGGGGUUAUGAGGUCUGAGUUGCAUGCCGUGGAUCUGUCACCACGUUUAAAGACAGACAAAAACACAAACGCCAAUACUGAAUUGGCCCUCGCAGCUUAAAUAAGACUGCGCGCUUCUCCGGGAAUGCCUGUGGUCCGGAAGAAGUGUCAGAAAGCAGGCUGGUCUCAGGGGAAUUCCCCUUUUCCUGAGGCAAGAACGAGGGGAUAGGGUUCUUGAGAGCCUUUCUGCCGGCAAUCCUGAUCCUGAAAAUUUAAUAGGCAGGAUAAGCAUGUAGACGCUUAGAAGUAGUGCUUCCGGACCCGGGUUCGAAUCCCGGCGCCUCCACCA
rnacentral:tmRNA from 1 species